rnacentral:rRNA from 1 species
GACAGAGGUGCCGAGCGUUAGGCGGAAUCACUGGGCUUAAAGCGUGUGUAGGCGGGCGAUCAAGUACCUUGUGAAAUCCCACGGCUCAACCGUGGAACCGCUGGGUAUACUGGUUGUCUUGAGCCGGCUAGGGGCGAGCGGAACAGACGGUGGAGCGGUGAAAUGCGUAGAUAUCGUCUGGAACGCCGAAGGUGAAAACAGCUCGCUGGGGCCGCGCUGACGCUGAGGAGCGAAAGCGUGGGGAGCGAACAGG